CUCAUGGAGCCUCGGAUGCUACUGUCAGGUAAUGUGUUAAAUAUUUUUUUAAUAGUAAAACUGUUAGAAAGUGUUUCAUGUCUGCAAUAACCCUGAUGAGCUCUGAGAGGAGCCACAGACUCACCUGUGCUGUUCAGAGGCAACCAGGUACACAGGUGAGCUCAAUCUGCACACAAUCAGUGCUCCUUUAACUAGGAGGGAGGAGGAAGAGCAUUUCUCUGUUUGUCUCUGCUACCAGCCAGACCUGCUGGUCCCCUGUCUUCAGCCACUGUGUCUAAAGUGACCACAGAUGCUCAGCCCUGCUAUCAGACAUCUUCUGGACCUGACACAUCUGUUUUGCUGAAACAAUGAACAGGCUUUGUAUUUUAUGAUUCAGCUUAAAAAGGGUUCAUGUGUAGGGUCAAACAAGUCCAGUUAUCCACGAAAGAUGCUUUACAAACCUUCAACCUUCCUGGCCCUUCCAGUAUUUUGUUUGUUGACAUACUGCAUGUAAUAUUUUCUAUGGUAGCCAACAUGAGCUGACACAUCUGGAAUGUGGCUUUUAAGGUCCUAUUUUCACUGCAGACCCCUCACACCCUGAAUAUAACCUCUGUAUGCCAAAACAGAUACCAAUACCAGAACAGUUUCUUCCCGCAGGCCGUCACUCUGAACACUUAAUCAGUCACACACUGUCAAUAACCCUGUAACACCAAAUAGCCACUGCUGCUCUUAUAGACUAUACUUUUUACAGUAGUGACUGCACAUUUUUAGAUUAUAAUUUAGUCUUUAAUGUACAUUUUUUUUGUAAUACGUACAUCUGUCACUUUAUGUAUUGUAAUAUGUACAUAUCUGUAAAUAUAAAUGUACAUACAGUAUAUAGACAUCCAUAUGUACAUGCAGUACAUAAUCAUCUAGUCCAUGUAUAUCCAUCUGGUAUUUAUUUCUUUGCACUUGUAUUGUUUACAACCCCCGAACACUUGACUUGUAUAUAGACAUUUGAUUUUGAUUGUCUUUUUUUUUUUAUUCUGUUAUUUAUAUUUUUUGUAAGUACAUUGAGAGAGCUGCAUAAAAACAGGAGUCCAAUUCCUUGUAUGUAUAUACUUGAUGAAAUAAACUUGACUCUGAUUCUACAGCUUUUUCUGUAA